UACGUAGGGGGCUAGCGUUGUCCGGAAUCAUUGGGCGUAAAGCGCGUGUAGGCGGCCAUCUAAGUCGGGCGUGAAAUCCCACGGCUCAACCGUGGAAGUGCACUCGAAACUGGAUGGCUAGAGUCCUGGAGAGGAAGGUGGAAUGCUUGGUGUAGAGGUGAAAUUCGUAGAUAUCAAGCGGAACACCGGUGGCGAAGGCGGCCUUCUGGACAGUGACUGACGCUGAGACGCGAAAGCGUGGGGAGCAAACAGG
rnacentral:rRNA from 1 species